rnacentral:tRNA from 1 species
UAGCUCAGUCAGUAAAGAAUCUGCCUGCAAUGCAGGAGACCCAGGUUCUAUUCCUGG